CUGUAGUAAUUAAAGUAGUAGUUCUGCAGAAGUAGGAGUAGUUGUUACUUUCAAAGCAAUUUCUACAAGUUUAAAUUCCUUAACCCUGUCCAUGUGGUAUACACACUGUUUUCUCUCAAUAUCAAACUCAGCCAGUCCAGGUUGUCAAAUAACAAUCUAUCUGAUAAGCCCAGCUUGUGCAGUGAGUCAGAUGUUGGGUAUGUUUGCUGCAAAUCUAUUGGUUAUAAGAUAUAACAGCCUUUUCUAAUUGGCUUAAUUCAAAUACAGAAAGUUUACCUGUUAGAUUGAAACAUGAAACAUGGUGGAAAAUGUACUGGUUUAACUUGUUAAAAUAAAGUUAAAGAAAUUUAACAAACAGAAGAGUUCAUUAGUUUUUCCAUUAAAAACACUUUUUUAAAAUACUUAUGUAUUUAUAUCAUUUGGAAAGUGACAUGAAAUAUUGUUAAAGAGUGAUGCAUACAGUGUUUGAGCAGUCUGUCUAGGAAUAGAACAACAACUGAAGUUGAUGGAAGAUACUGCAGAGUUUGGCAGGGAAAUAAUCCAACAGCAAAGCCGCUCUUUAAGCGCAUUCACCUAGAGGACUUACAGGGCCACACAUUCAUGAGCACAUGUGAGCAGUAUACAAUGUACCUCAUACCAAAAAGAACCCGGAGGCAGUGACUGGUGUUCAAUAUUCUCAGAAGAAAAGGAAAAUGGCAGUGGAAGACUUGGACAAACAUUUUUAAAAACAAGCCUCUGUGUUAAGCCUGGCAGUCUGUGGCUGGUGACAUGUUUUAUUUGGGUUACUUCUUGUAUAAAAAAGACCAGUUAUUUAUUUUGUGAAUUAUAUUUUGUGUUUGUUUUUUGUCUUAAUUUAUUAUAUUUUUUUUAAUUUAGGAAUUUGAAACUUGGAUAAUUGAAUAAAGUCCGUGUUCAACAGUACUGAGCAUAGUAUAAUAAAUAACAAAUUUACAACAGUUGUUAAUUUGUUAUGUAUUAUUAUUAACUAUGCUCAGUACUUGAAUACUGGCUGUCUGCACGGGAAUUUGUUUUCUAGAAAGUUGGUUUCAGACUUAAAUAUUUGAAGUUAACCUUCGGAACUUUUCUAGAAUUGUACUGGAACACAUCAACUAAAACUGAACUUCUGUUAUCAUACUGAAAGUGUUCUAGAAUUAAUAAGGAACAGUUGUUGAACGUUAAAAUGUAUGAGAAAAAACUCGAGAACAAUUCUGCGUGAUGUGUGUGUGUGCAUGUAAUUGUGUGUGUUUAUGAACAUAUGUGAGAAAGGAUGUAUACUUGUCAUAAGAUAAAUGUAAAAUUCUACUUCUAUGUUUUAUAUUGUGCCUUUUAUAAGUUUUUCUUUUCUCACCUGUAUAUGCGUGCAUGUUUAUGGAUGUGUUUUUGAAUGUGUGUGUGCAUGCCUGUGGUUAAGAGAGUAGGUACUUUAUGAAAAUGUAAAACCACUCAUUUUUGAAUAUGUACUGUGACUGCACGUGUGUGGUUAAUGAUUGAUGCUAUAUCUUGUUCUUGUUUAACUUCUACGAUGAAACCUUUAGUUACAUUCACAUUUGUUUUUCAAAAUCAACGAAAUGCCUUUAAUCUAUAAUCUGUUUUUUUCUAUUUUAUUCCAGCUUUUUAUUAAAUUCCAUAGCUUUUCACGGAAUUCCACGGCAUUCUAUGGAAUUCCACGGCAUUCUAUGGAAUUCCACGGCGUUCUAUGGAAUUCCACGGCGUUCUAUGGAAUUCCACGGCAUUCUAUGGAAUUCCACGGCAUUCUAUGGAAUUCCACGGCAUUCUAUGGAAUUCCACGGCAUUCUAUGGAAUGCCACGGAAUUCUAUGGAAUUCCACGGCAUUUUAUGGAAUUCCAUCCCAUAUCAAGUCCCUCUUCUGUUUUUUUUUCACUUUUCCAUUGAUUGCAUGGAAUCGGAUGGAAAGUUAGUGCCAAUACUCCACGGAAUUCCAUCUAACGAUUUCCAUAGAAUUCCAUAUGAUUCCGCGGCAGAUCUACA